ACGAGAUCCCUUUUUUGAUCUUCUCACCCUGUUGUGUAUUCUGAAAAAUUAUCUUUAGAUCCCUCCACCACAAAGAGUCCUUAUUACUGCAUAAUGUAUAAUAUAUUAUUGAGAUAAACAAAAAUAGGACAAGUGGUACUGAAUGAAAAGAUAAUACAAAGCACCUCUGGUGUUGCCUCCAUUUACCCAGCAAAGCUUCAUUAAAUUUAGAUAUUUCUUUAAUCCCCAAACCACCUUCCUCCUUAGGUAAGCAAAUAGCUUCCCAUUUUACC
rnacentral:misc_RNA from 1 species